rnacentral:rRNA from 1 species
AUUGAACGCUGGCGGCAGGCUUAACACAUGCAAGUCGAGCGGGGUGAUGGUGCUUGCACUAUCACUUAGCGGCGGACGGGUGAGUAAUGCUCAGGAAUCUGCCUAUUAGUGGGGGACAACAUCUCGAAAGGGAUGCUAAUACCGCAUACGUCCUACGGGAGAAAGCAGGGGAUCACUUGUGACCUUGCGCUAAUAGAUGAGCCUAAGUCGGAUUAGCUAGUUGGUGGGAUAAAGGCCUACCAAGGCGACGAUCUGUAGCGGGUCUGAGAGGAUGAUCCGCCACACUGGGACUGAGACACGGCCCAGACUCCUACGGGAGGCAGCAGUGGGGAAUAUUGGACAAUGGGGGGAACCCUGAUCCAGCCAUGCCGCGUGUGUGAAGAAGGCCUUAUGGUUGUAAAGCACUUUAAGCGAGGAGGAGGCUCUUUUGGUUAAUACCCAAGAUGAGUGGACGUUACUCGCAGAAUAAGCACCGGCUAACUCUGUGCCAGCCGCCGCAGUAA